rnacentral:tRNA from 1 species
GUUUCCGUAGCUCAGCAGGAUAGAGCGACCGCCUCCUAAGCGGUAGGCCGUGGGUUCGACUCCCGCCGGGAACA